GAGUUGGGGGAGAGGACCAGAACCACCUGCUGGAGAAGGGGAGCUACGGGGGCCGGGCAGGGUCCAAACGCCUCACGUAGGCGGCGGCGCCACGGUCUUCGGGGUCACAGGGAAGAGAAGGGCUCUCCUCAAGCGGGUGGAAGGAGGGAGGCCUCCCGAGGGAGUGAGACUCUAGGCCACUCCCCCGCAGCAAGGCAGGAUCACCUGCGACGCGGAGAGCGGUUAGAGGGCCCUGGAGUGGAAAAGGGCAGUGGGACCUGGUAGCUUGGGUUCCCUGCAACUUGGGGUUCGACCUCCAGGCAAUGAAGUAGGGAUGGUCCUGCAAGUCAAGAUUCCAGUAGCAAGAGUGCAUCAGAUCUCUGUAAGGAAAAUAACUAACAUUGCUCAGUUCCCUGUAGAGUUGCAGGGCGCUUUAACGUUAUCUCCCUUGGUUCUCCAUCAGGUCGUAGUGGACUAAUUUUACAGGCGAAGUUAAGUGACUUACCCAAAACCUCACAGCUAAUAAACGGCAGAGCCGGCACCCAGCUGUACUGGCUUCCAAUUCUGUUAGCUUACCAGCGCAUCACAUUAUCUCCAUAAAUCCCCAUGAUUCAACUAAUAUUAGACGCCCCACAGGGCUGGAAGGAGUGUUGCUCAACAAUAUCCAAAACCACAGAGGUUGAAAAGCACAAGGAAAGAAGCUGGACCCUGGACACGGUGACUCUGAUUCAAUUAUGCAGAUGACCACAAACCUCUGGGGUUGGCAGAGCCACAAGAAAGAAGGUGCCUGGAUGAAGGAGAGCUACCCACUGACCUGGACACCCAAUUAUAGGAUAGACAGUGAAGUGCAACUACAGCCCGCAAAUGAAAAUGAAUAAUAUUAAUCCAGCCCCUCAAGGCAGGCGAGUAGCUGCUGUCAUCUGUCUUAGAGCUAUUGGAAUCCUGGAUCAUUGUGGGAAAUGAAAGGAACUGGUUUUUAGCAAGGAGACCAAGAAACUCUACUCCCUAGGGGCUAGCAAUGAGAGAAAGGAAGCCUUAAGUCUUUGAGCACAGGGUGACAGUUUGGGUCCUAUGUGAGAUGAUCAAAUCCACAGCAACAGAGGAAAGGACAAAAGGAAAAGAUACUUCGAUGGAAUCAGCAGCCAUUGAUCCAAUGCCAACUCCAAGACUGGAACGUCGCAAUGAUAGUUCCAAGGCGGAAAUUUGACGUAAUUCUUUUCGACACAGUUUUACAGGCAUCUUGCAUGUGAAUAACUCACAACUUUAAUUCAUGGAACAAAUUGAGAAAUAGUCUUUUGGGGGUUUGGUACUCCCUGGAAACAUAAGAGUGCUUUGGGCACCUCUGGUGCCUUUCCAUGCCUGCCUUCUCUGCUGUUCUUGCUACUAGUGAAUUCUAAAUCAUGGCCAAGUGAUGCCAGCACUGGAUAAUAUUGGCUCUGCCCCAUAUCUCGAGGGAAAACUCUAGGACUUGGCAUUAUAUGUGUGGGAAUCUGGCCUUGGUUGGCACUCCCAGCAUGAUAGCGGGGUUCUCCUGUCUGAAUGUACUCUGGGGUGUGCGCCACAAUUUCUGUCAUCGAAAUGGAGAUGAGAGAAUAUGCCCUUGGUGGGGACACCCCACUGGAAUUAGAGUGAAGAGAUCAAAGCUAGAGGUUCUUAAAUCAAAGAAUAUCUAAUAGCAAAGACAAAAACUUGCUUAAGGGAAAUGCAUACAAGUACUAGACCUAAUAUGAUGAAAAAUGCCAACUUCAAUAUAUUGAUGCAUGCUUAGUACACUUUCAGUCCUGCAAAGACAAAGUUUUUUGUUGUUUUUUUUUUGAGACGGAGUCUCGCUCUGUCGCCCAGGUUGGAGUGC
rnacentral:lncRNA from 1 species